rnacentral:rRNA from 1 species
UGAGGAAUAUUGGUCAAUGGACGCAAGUCUGAACCAGCCAAGUAGCGUGCAGGAUGACGGCCCUAUGGGUUGUAAACUGCUUUUAUAUGGGGAUAAAGUGGGGAACGUGUUCCCUUUUGCAGGUACCAUAUGAAUAAGGACCGGCUAAUUCCGUUCCAGCAGCCGCGGUAAUACGGAAGGUUCGGGCGUUAUCCGGAUUUAUUGGGUUUAAAGGGAGCGUAGGCCGUUUGGUAAGCGUGUUGUGAAAUGUAGGAGCUCAACUUCUAGAUUGCAGCGCGAACUGUCAGACUUGAGUGCGCACAACGUAGGCGGAAUUCAUGGUGUAGCGGUGAAAUGCUUAGAUAUCAUGAAGAACUCCGAUUGCGAAGGCAGCUUACGGGAGCGAAACUGACGCUGAAGCUCGAAGGUGCGGGUAUCGAACAGG